ACGAACGCUGGCGGCGUGCUUAACACCUGCAAGUCGCACGGAAAGGCCCUGCUUUUGUGGGGUGCUCGAGUGGCGAACGGGUGAGUAACACGUGAGUCACCUGCCCUUGACUUUGGGAUAACUUCAGGAAACUGGGGCUAAUACCGGAUAGGAGCUCCUGCUGCAUGGUGGGGGUUGGAAAGUUUCGGCGGUUGGGGAUGGACUCGCGGCUUAUCAGCUUGUUGGUGGGGUAGUGGCUUACCAAGGCUUUGACGGGUAGCCGGCCUGAGAGGGUGACCGGCCACAUUGGGACUGAGAUACGGCCCAGACUCCUACGGGAGGCAGCAGUGGGGAAUAUUGCACAAUGGGCGGAAGCCUGAUGCAGCAACGCCGCGUGCGGGAUGACGGCCUUCGGGUUGUAAACCGCUUUCGCCUGUGACGAAGCGUGAGUGACGGUAAUGGGUAAAGAAGCACCGGCUAACUACGUG
rnacentral:rRNA from 1 species